UUUAAGCGCAGCCAUGAGUUUUCGUGUCUAACUUUGAUCGUCCAUUUUAUUUAAAAUAUUUUUAUGAUUAAUAUUUUUUUAUUAUUAAAAGAUAAAACAUGAAUAAUCCUUUUUUUAUUGUACAUGAAUAAUCCUUUUUUUUAUUGUACAUGAAUAAUCCUUUAGUGGUGACUUAUGUUUUUAAUUUUUUUAAAAAAACCAGAUAAGAUAAACGAUUAAAGUUAGAAAAAAAAAUAUUGUUGCGCGAAGG
rnacentral:pre_miRNA from 1 species